rnacentral:rRNA from 1 species
UACGUAGGGGGCAAGCGUUGUCCGGAAUCAUUGGGCGUAAAGAGCGUGUAGGCGGCCUGAUAAGUCGGCUGUGAAAGUCAAGGGCUCAACCCUUGAAUGCCGGCCGAUACUGUCAGGCUAGAGUCCGGAAGAGGCGAGUGGAAUUCCUGGUGUAGCGGUGAAAUGCGCAGAUAUCAGGAGGAACACCUAUGGCGAAGGCAGCUCGCUGGGACGGUACUGACACUGAGGCGCGAAAGCGUGGGGAGCGAACAGG